GUGUCAGCCGCCGCGGUAAUACGUAGGGUGCGAGCGUUAAUCGGAAUUACUGGGCGUAAAGCGUGCGCAGGCGGUUCGUUGUGUCUGGUGUGAAAGCCCCGAGCUUAACUUGGGAAUGGCAUUGGAAACUGGCGAGCUGGAGUGCGGCAGAGGGGGGUGGAAUUCCACGUGUAGCAGUGAAAUGCGUAGAGAUGUGGAGGAACACCGAUGGCGAAGGCAGCCCCCUGGGCCGACACUGACGCUCAGGCACGAAAGCGUGGGGAGCAAACAGGAUUAGAAACCCCAGUAGUCC
rnacentral:rRNA from 1 species